CCCUUAGAGUUUGAUCCUGGCUCAGAAUCAACGCUGGCGGCGUGCCUAACACAUGCAAGUCGAACGCGAAAGUGGAGCAAUCCAUGAGUAGAGUGGCAAACGGGUGAGUAACACGUGGGUGACCUGCCUUCGAGUGGGGGAUAACGUCCCGAAAGGGACGCUAAUACCGCAUAACAUGCUGUCUUUUAAGAGAGAGACAUCAAAGCCGGGGACCGCAAGGCCUGGCGCUUGAAGAGGGGCCCGCGCCUGAUUAGCUAGUUGGUGGGGUAAUGGCUCACCAAGGCAACGAUCAGUAUCCGGCCUGAGAGGGCGGACGGACACACUGGGACUGAGACACGGCCCAGACUCCUACGGGAGGCAGCAGUGGGGAAUUGUUCGCAAUGGGCGCAAGCCUGACGACGCAACGCCGCGUGGAGGAUGAAGACCUUCGGGUCGUAAACUCCUUUCGAUCGAGACGAAUGGCCUGUGGGCGAAUACCCUGCGGGAAUGACGGUACCGAGAGAAGAAGCCCCGGCUAACUCCGUGCCAGCAGCCGCGGUAAUACGGGGGGGGCAAGCGUUGUUCGGAAUUACUGGGCGUAAAGGGCUCGUAGGCGGCCAACUAAGUCAUACGUGAAAUCCCUCGGCUUAACCGGGGAACUGCGUCUGAUACUGGAUGGCUUGAGUUCGGGAGAGGGAUGCGGAAUUCCAGUGUAGCGGUGAAAUGCGUAGAUAUCUG
rnacentral:rRNA from 1 species